ACGGAAUCCUGGUGUAGCAAUACACCGGAAGAUUUAGUGGCGAACGGGUGAGGAUCACGUGAGAAACCUGCCCCAGACUUUGGGAUAACAGUUGGAAACGACUGCUAAUACCGAAUGACGUCGGAGAACCGCAUGGUUCACUGACGAAAGGAAAUCCGGUUUGGGAGGGUCUCGCGGCCUAUCAGCUUGUUGGUGGGGUAAUGGCCUACCAAGGCAACGACGGGUAGCUGGUCUGAGAGGAUGAUCAGCCACACUGGGACUGAGACACGGCCCAGACUCCUACGGGAGGCAGCAGUGGGGAAUCUUGCGCAAUGGGCGAAAGCCUGACGCAGCAACGCCGCGUGCGGGAUGAAGGCCUUCGGGUUGUAAACCGCUUUCAGCAGGAACGAAAAUGACAGUACCUGCAGAAGAAGGAGCGGCCAACUACGUGCCAGCAGCCGCGGUGACACGUAGGCUCCAAGCGUUGUCCGGAUUUAUUGGGCGUAAAGAGCUCGUAAGCGGUUUAGUAAGUCGGGUGUUAAAAACUCUGGGCUCAACCCGGAGACGCCCUCCGAUACUACUAUGACUUGGGUUCAGGAGGGGAGGGGGGAAUUCCUAAUGUACCGGUGAAAUGCGCCCAUAUUAUGAGGAACACCCGUGGCGAAAAGCCCCGCUCUGGACUGAAACUGACCCUUAAGAAGGAAAACAUGGGGUAGCAAACAAGAUUAAAAACCCUGGGGAUCCCUGCCCCUAAAAGGGGGGGACUAAGGGGGGGGUUCCAACCUACGGG
rnacentral:rRNA from 1 species